UACGUAGGGUGCAAGCGUUGUCCGGAAUUAUUGGGCGUAAAGAGCUCGUAGGCGGUUUGUCGCGUCUGCUGUGAAAACGCGAGGCUCAACCUCGCGCCUGCAGUGGGUACGGGCAGACUAGAGUGCGGUAGGGGAGAUUGGAAUUCCUGGUGUAGCGGUGGAAUGCGCAGAUAUCAGGAGGAACACCGGUGGCGAAGGCGGGUCUCUGGGCCGUUACUGACGCUGAGGAGCGAAAGCGUGGGGAGCGAACAGG
rnacentral:rRNA from 1 species